rnacentral:rRNA from 1 species
UACGUAGGGUGCGAGCGUUAAUCGGAAUUACUGGGCGUAAAGCGUGCGCAGGCGGUUCGUCGUGUCUGAUGUGAAAGCCCCGGGCUCAACCUGGGAAUGGCAUUGGAAACUGGCGGACUAGAGUGUGGCAGAGGGGGGUGGAAUUCCGGGUGUAGCGGUGGAAUGCGUAGAGAUCCGGAAGAACACCGGUGGCGAAGGCGGCCUGCUGGGCAGUAGCUGACGCUGAGGCGCGACAGCGUGGGGAGCAAACAGG